UGGGGAAUUUUGGACAAUGGGCGAAAGCCUGAUCCAGCAAUGCCGCGUGUGUGAAGAAGGCCUUCGGGUUGUAAAGCACUUUUGUCCGGAAAGAAAUCCUUGGCUCUAAUACAGUCGGGGGAUGACGGUACCGGAAGAAUAAGCACCGGCUAACUACGUGCCAGCAGCCGCGGUAAUACGUAGGGUGCAAGCGUUNAUCGGAAUUACUGGGCGUAAAGCGUGCGCAGGCGGUUUGCUAAGACCGAUGUGAAAUCCCCGGGCUCAACCUGGGAACUGCAUUGGUGACUGGCAGGCUAGAGUAUGGCAGAGGGGGGUAGAAUUCCACGUGUAGCAGUGAAAUGCGUAGAGAUGUGGAGGAAUACCGAUGGCGAAGGCAGCCCCCUGGGCCAAUACUGACGCUCAUGCACGAAAAGCGUGGGGAGCAAACAGGAUUAGGAUACCCUGGUAGUCCACGCCCUAAACGAUGUCAACUAGUUGUUGGGGAUUCAUUUCCUUAGUAACGUAGCUAACGCGUGAAGUUGACCGCCUGGGGAGUACGGUCGCAAGAUUAAAACUUAAAGGAAUUGAC
rnacentral:rRNA from 1 species